CAUUGCAUAUCAUGCCUUUCAAGUCUGAGUAACGUAAUAUAAUUCUUUUACCUGUAUACCCUUAAAAAGUUCACUCGCUCUUGUAUACCUCAUGUGAACUUUUGUUUACCCGUAUACCUCCGUCCAGCUUCUGUUAGUAUCUAACUGUUAAGUUGGCCUGACACAUGGGGAUCCACCAAGGCAAAUUUCUAUGUUGCCCUCGGACCGAUAAGGCCCUCACGAGUGCUCUCAUCCCCUCCUCCCAGCAGUCCCGUCGCCCUCCUCUUACCAGGCGCUGAAGCGCCGCCAGCCCGCGCCCAGGUGCAGCGCUCGGCGAAGUGGCGCGCCAUGCCAACGAAGAGAUCUCCUUUGGCAUCACACUCUGCGUGCGGCCUGGCUUACAUGGGCGGCUGACCCCUCUGGUCAUCGAUCUGCCUCGCAGUGAGGAGCCCAUGGUCACCAGCUAAUAAUGAGGAGUUGCGGUAUCCGGAUGUUGAUUCACCUUAGAGCCACGUGCGAGUUGGACAUCAGACAGCAGCUUCGCAACCCAUUUCUUCAGAAAUUUAAAGUAUCCCUCCUUGGAUACAGACUUUAGAACUCACUGUCCUUUUUCUCGUUUGUAUAGGCCCAAAAAACUGAACAAACAGCAAAGUGCUUCAAAUAUGAUGUGAAAGUAAUGCUAGAACAAAUUUUGCACGGUGAACAAACAGCAGUUAUAGUACUAUCGUCGUCUCUAUUGGAUGAUAACAAGACCGUAUGUUGCUAGUUCUUGUGCCGUUGUACUGUGUAGUAGUAUCUUCACUCUGGCAAUGCAUUGCCGUAUCAAGCUUUUGGGUGUCUUCCUCUCGGCACUGCCGCUGCUGCCGCCGCCGGGGAUCUGAAAAACUCUGGACUUCCUCGGCAGUCGGCACCAUGUUUGAGUUUGACCAAGCUGGUGGAUCCCGCACUCGCGAAGCGACACCGAUCCGCUCCGCUGCGGGAUGCAUGCUCCGAGCCUCUCACGCGUCAGUCAUCAUGGGAACAAGUAUUUGGUGCUGUUAAUUGUUUCUGUUAAUUGUAAAUUCUAUAUGCUUAGAACAUGUUGCUGAAUUUUUAAUUGUCAGAUCAAAUGUAUUUUCUUCA